GGGCUCGGUGACGUGGCGGGGGUGGGGGAGCAGGCCCAGGGUGUGGCGGUCACGGCGGCGGCAGCGGAGCUAGAGCAGAGCGGAGCCACCACAGGGGCCCGGCUGAGCACGUUGGGCCACGUGGUCCUCUCCCCAGUCUGGUUCCUGUACAGCCUGCUCAUGAAGCUGUUCCAAAGCUCCACCCCAGCCAUCACCCUUGAGAACCUGGACAUCAAGUACCUGCUGCGGCCGAUUGACAAGGAGGUCAUCAGCCUUGACACCUGAUGGUUCCACUUUGCUCUACCGUCGCCCCAGCACAUCCUGGGCCUCCCCGUAGGGCUAGCACAUCUACCUCUCGGCUUGAAUCGAUGGGAACCUGGUCAUUCUGCCCUACACGCCUGUCUCCAGCGAUGACAAGGGCUUUGUGGACCUGGUCAUCAAGGUUUACUUCAAAGACACCCACCCCAAGUUUCCCGCUGGUGGGAAGAUGUCCCAGUACCUGUAAAGCAUGAAGAUUGGAGGCACCAUUGAGUUCCGAGACCCAAAUGGGCUGCUGGUCUACCAGGGCAAAGGAAAGUUUGCCAUCUGUGCAGACAAGAAAUCCAACCCUGUCAUCAAGACGGUGAAGUCUGUGGGCAUGUUUGCGGGAGGAACGGGCAUCACCCCAAUGCUACAGGUGAUACGUGCCAUCAUGAAGGACAGGGAUGAUCACACCGUGUGCCACCUGCGCUUUGCCAACCAGACCGAGAAGGACCUCCUGCUGCGGCCGGAGCUGGAGGAACUGAAGAACGAACAUUCUGAGUGCUUCAAGCUCUGGUACAUGGUGGACAGUGCCCCUGAAGCUUGGGACUACAGCCAGGGCUUCGUGAACGAGGAGAUGAUCCGGGACCACCUUCCACCCCUGGAGGAGGAGCCGCUGGUGCUGAUGUGCGGACCCCCGUGCAUGAUCCAGCAUGCCUGCCUGCCCAACCUGGACAGCGUGGGCCACCCCAAGGAGCGCUCCUUCGCCUUCUGA